AGAGCACUCUGACAUCAACCCAUCUGACAUGGGGAGAUAUCUAAGUUGUCCCCUAAAUAAAUUUCUGCAUUCUAGGUGUUCUAUGGGAGUAACAGCAGUCUUUUCCAACUUGUGAGGAGUCAGCAGUUCAUUCAAAAUGCUGAAGACUUCCAAUGACAAACUGCACUUCUUUUGGUUCCACGAUGGCAUCAGGAAGCCAGAUGGGAUCCCCGGCAGGAAAGGGAACUCAUUCGUCACCUGAGCCCGGGGCAACACUCAAGAGGAGUACACCAGCAACAAAUUCUGUACAAGAAUUGACCUGAGAAGAGUAUUCUGAGCCUCCUGGUUGCUGUUAGGGGCAGCACCCAGAAAGUCAGGAUAUAUCUGAAGAAGGAAACAGGCAAGAAAAACCAUCAACAGGAGUUUUAGCUUGGAAUGUGACUUAACUUAUCAACCUGGCUAGAUUGAGGGCUCACUGAACUAAGGAAGUUGACCUUGAAAUUGGGUAGAUUAGCUCUCUGCCAUCCACUGAAAUCACAGAGCAACCUGAUGUAGAGAAAUGAAAAAAGUUUGCAUGUCUCAUGCCUGAUCCCAUGAUCUCCCAGGAGAUCAUGACCUGAGCCAAGACCGAGAGUUGGACACUUAACUGACUGAGGCACCCAAGUGCCCCUUGUCAACAUUUUUAUUUAUUUUAUUAAACUUGUUUAUUUGAUUAUAGUUGACUCAUGUUACAUUAGUUUCAGGUAUACAACAUAGUGAUUCAAGAUCUUAAUAUAUUAUGCCAUGCUCACCACAAGGGUAGCUGCCAUCUGUUGCUAUAUAACACGAUUAUAAUAUCAUUGGCUAUAUUCUCUAUGCUGUGUCUUUUAUUUCAGUGAUUUAUUUAUUCCAUAACUGGAGGACUAUUAGGUCCCCCUCCCCUUCACCCAUUUGCUGAAUAUUUUUUAUCAAGACACAUUCUGUUUCCUAUUUGCUAACUACUCUGUGGAAGUGUUUUACACAUAUUAUGUCAUUUAGCCCUUACCUAUGACAUGAUUAUUGUCCUCAACUUACAGAGAAGUGACUGAGGGCUAGAAAAAUGAAGUAACGGGGUGCCUGGGUGGCUUAGUUGGUUGAGCAUCCAAUUUCAGCUCAGUUUAUGA